rnacentral:rRNA from 1 species
UACGAAGGUCCCGAGCGUUGUUCGGAAUCACUGGGCGUAAAGGGAGCGUAGGCGGCGCGGUAAGUCAGAUGUGAAAUCCCGGGGCUCAACCCCGGAACUGCAUCCGAUACUGCCGUGCUAGAGGAUUGGAGAGGUAGCUGGAAUUCUUGGUGUAGCAGUGAAAUGCGUGGAUAUCAGGAGGAACACCGGUGGCGAAGGCGGGUCUCUGGGCCGAUACUGACGCUGAGGAGCGAAAGCGUGGGGAGCGAACAGG